rnacentral:snRNA from 1 species
GUACCUUUCUCGGCCUUUUGGCUAAGAUCAAGUGUAGUAUCUGUUCUUAUUAGUUUAAUAUCUGAUACGUGGGUUAUUAGUUCACAAGAUAUUAACUCAUUUUUUUUUAGGUGGAAGACUCAUGGGUUAUUAGUUCACAAGAUAUUAACUCAUUUUUUUUUAGGUGGAAGACUCAUUAAGAUAAUUUUGCUGUCUGAGCCUUUGGGCAUCGCCUUGGUGUUGCACUAUUGUCUCGGCUUGGAGCACCUCAC